GACUAUAUCAUGUUGAAACAUCAGUUCACAUAUGAUCACUAAAGUUAAGCAAUGUUGAGCCUAGGUAUUCCUUAGAUGGGUCACUGCUGGGGAAUACCAGGUGCUGUAAG